AUGAACGCUGGCGGCGUGCUUAACCCAUGCAAGUCGAACGGUGAAGGCGGAGCUUGCUCUGCUGGAUCAGUGGCGAACGGGUGAGUAACACGUGAGCAAUCUGCCCCUGACUCUGGGAUAAGCGCUGGAAACGGCGUCUAAUACUGGAUACGAGCUGCGAAGGCAUCUUCAGCAGCUGGAAAGAACUUCGGUCAGGGAUGAGCUCGCGGCCUAUCAGCUUGUUGGUGAGGUAACGGCUCACCAAGGCGUCGACGGGUAGCCGGCCUGAGAGGGUGACCGGCCACACUGGGACUGAGACACGGCCCAGACUCCUACGGGAGGCAGCAGUGGGGAAUAUUGCACAAUGGGCGAAAGCCUGAUGCAGCAACGCCGCGUGAGGGACGACGGCCUUCGGGUUGUAAACCUCUUUUAGCAGGGAAGAAGCGAAAGUGACGGUACCUGCAGAAAAAGCGCCGGCUAACUACGUG
rnacentral:rRNA from 1 species